rnacentral:lncRNA from 1 species
AGUGAAGAGAUGCCAGACCCCGCGUAGAGGGUAGAGGAAUGCGCUGCCGCGGAGAGCCAUGGAAGAACCUGCCAAUGGAGGGACCACAGAAGGAUCUAUGGGAGAACAACGGGAACUGCAGGAGAGUGGGCCAAAUAAUCAUGGCAACAGGACUUUUAGAAGCACAUCCUCUGAAAGCCAUUUUCUGCUGCCUGUGGUUGGAAAGGGACUGUGAGUCUUUCCUCAGGAAGUCAGUAGCCCUACCUGGUGAGGUGAUCAAGAGUUUGCUAGCACAAGAGAUGAAGCAACAAUGACCACGAGGGCUUCAAGGAUUAUGCGGUAAGAUCUUAUGAAACACUUAAGAGCUACACAAGGACCUAGACUUUAGGUUUGCUCCACAGGGCCACACUUCCAGUUCUGUUUCACUUCCAGAUUUUCCCAGUUUUUCAUGCCUUUUCUCUGGUCAUGGCAGAAGAAGCAAUGAUCUGAUUCAAGGGCAGGCAGGAGAAGAGAAAGCCAAAUCAAGAGCCUGAAUAAGCAAUACCCAGCAUAAUUUCAUUGACCACAUUCAGUCUAUCAGUCUUUUGGGAAAUAUUUAUAUUUUUCCUUCUCCCUGCCUUUGUCACCAAAAAAUUUCAUUU